rnacentral:lncRNA from 10 species
CCCAGAAUGCCCUGGCCUGCUGCAUCCCCAUGAUGUGCCUAUGAAAACCCCCAAGACCCUAGCAGGCAGACACAGAAGUGGCUGGACAUCAUGAGGAACACACUGGCAGAAGGAGACGCAAGCCGCUGGACUUUGAGAGGAUGUUGAAAGGAGCACUCUGGCAGAAGAGCACACUGGCAGACACUGGCAGGCUCUCGACUGGUGGAACGACGUGGAGUUUGGCCAGGGCAGUCGAGGAGAGCCUGGGCUGCUGAGCGACCCGACUCCAGGGGAAAGCCACCUUCCCACUCCAUCUCCCUUCUGGCUCCCCCAUCUACUGAGAGCUACUUCCACUCAACAAAACCUUGCACUCAUUCUCCAAGCCCACGUGUGAUCCAAUUCUUCCGGUACACCAAGUCAAAAACCCGGAUACAGGAAGUCCUCUGUCCUCGCAACAAGCUUCAAAACAGUGACAGGAAAUGGGAAAAGGGAAAACACCUCAGAGUUUGCAAACGGGUGACUGUGUGCCUCAGCAGCACAGGAAGGAAAUGACCACGGGACACCUGUGCAGUGGCUAGAGCCAGGCCGGCCUCAUUCGAUGUCAUGUGACGGGUGGAGAUGGGGGAGCUGUGACAGCGGCAAGCACAUCCCGGCCAGGCCCGGGAGAACAUGGGCUCCACCAGCUCACCCCCUCCACAGCCUUUCCUUCAGAAGCCUCGCUGUGGACACAGACUGAAACAGGCCGUGUGGUGGUGGGAGGGGUGUCAUUAUAUUAUUCUAUUUGUGUGUACAUUUGUGUGUUUUCAUAAUGAAGUUGGUAUUUUUAAAAAAG